GAUCCUGGCUUAGGACGAACGCUGGCGGCGCGCCUAACACAUGCAAGUCGAACGAGAGAGGAAGAGCUUGCUUUUCCGAUCGAGUGGCGAACGGGUGAGUAACGCGUGAGGAACCUGCCUCAAAGAGGGGGACAACAGUUGGAAACGACUGCUAAUACCGCAUAAGCCCACGGCUCGGCAUCGAGCAGAGGGAAAAGGAGCAAUCCGCUUUGAGAUGGCCUCGCGUCCGAUUAGCUAGUUGGUGG
rnacentral:rRNA from 1 species